rnacentral:lncRNA from 1 species
UCCGCGUAAUUGCCCGUUGAAUCACCGACUCUGCUCCUCUCCCUUUCUUGGCGUUCUCGGGGGGGGACGAAGGCGUCCUCUCUUUUCGUUCGGGCGGCUUUGAUGGGCGAAGGCGUCGUCUCUUGUUCGUUCUGGUAGCUUUGAUAGAUGAAGGCGUCGUCUCUUCUUCGGCCGCUUUGAUCGCCGCCGGGAACUCCGUUCUUGGCCAGCCGCGCUCUCUUUUUCUUCCUCGAGAGCUCCAGCCGCAGGGAAUCUGAUAAGGUAUCUAGGGUUUUAUUCGUUCUAGCGGAAUUUCUCUAUUCCUUGAUUUGAGAUUUUCUUUCAAGAAUUCCAAAGGGAUAAGAUUCCUCCUUGAGAAGGAUUUCGUUAAGAUUUAACCUUCUUUGUCAUCCUGCACUGGAAUUUAGUUUUCUUGUGCUUUCUUUUUCUUUUCUUCGUUUGAUGACUUAUUGAUCCUCGAACUGAGGUCAAUGAAUUUCUACUGACGUGUUGGUAUCUCGAAUUGGUUUAAUGCUGCUGACUGACGAUAUUGUAAUCUUAUAGCUAGUAUCUUUCUAAUUAUUUCUUUUGGGGUUUCUUGAAAUUUUUCAUGAUUUCCAAUCUUCGGACACGUGUCUUCAGUUACUUCAGUCCUACAAGGCAUUGUCAUUGUCAUCUUAAAGUAAGUAUCUUUCUGGGGAUUUCUUUUGGGUUUUCUUGAAAUUCCGACGAUUUCCUAACUUUAAUAGAAAUGUGAGCAAUUACUUGAGUCCUACAAGCCUUUGAUCUUCCACAUUAAAGCUAAUAUUUUUCUGAUGGUUUCUUUUUUGUAAAUUUUUUUUUAUAUGAUUUCCUAAUGUUAGCACAGAUAUUUGCACUUCUGCAGCUACACAUUGUUAUUGUCAUCUUAAAGGAAGUAUAUUUCUGGGGAUUUCGUUUGGGUUUUCUUGAAAUUCCUACGAUUUCCUAAUUUUAACAGAAAUGUUAGCAAUUACUUGAGCCCUAUAAGUCAUCGAUCUUGCCAUCUUCAAGCUAAUAUUUUUCUGAUAUUUUUUUAAGAAUUUGUACGACUUCCUAACUUUAAUACGGAUAUUUGCACUUACUGCAGUCCUAUAAGUAAUUGAUGUUGCCAUCAUAAAGCCAGUACCUUUCUGACAAUGUCUUUUCUGGAAAUUUCUAUGAAAUCUAUGUCGUCAAGGAUCCAAAAGAAAUUCUAAUGUUUCUCAAUUAAAAUCUCACAAUUCCUGUUUCAUUCUUGGUGCUUGUAUGGUUGAAAAGUUGGCAUAUCAUCAACUCAUUUCUCAACUUGUAAAUAGCCUUUAGACAUUAAAUAUUCCAUAUCCAAUUCAAAUGAUCCUUUCUGAUCAGGAUUAUCAGGUGGGUAUGUAGAUAACCUAAUUUGGCCAAUAAUUGUAGCAUGUUCAUCGCUUCAUGAUCAAGUGCUUGCUCGACAGUUGCUAUGUGCUGAUAAGAGGUUUUUCAUAGGGUUUAAAGUUCAAGUUCAGUGAGUGAAUCUGUGAUUAAAUCAUUUUCGUAUCAUGUUUACAUUUGUUUUUUUUUUUUAGAGUUAAUCUGUUAUUAAAUCAUUUUCUUAUCAUGUGUGCAUUGUGUUGUCUUCUAUCCUGUUUUUACCCCCAAUACCUUCCAUUUUCACUUUGUUGGAUAUUACGUUGGUUAAUGCUUCAAAAAUGCUUCACGAUUCUUCAAUAACAGAUUGUUGUACUUUGGGUCCUGAUUCAUAGCAAUAUAUUUUCUAAACAAACAAAUAAAUCUAUAAAUGCAAUUAAUGGAAAAUCUUAAGAGGAAUAAUAUAUAUAUAUAUCAUUCGGCAUCCAAAUAAUUCUAUUUUAAUGUAAAAUAAAUAUAUUCUAGCACAAAAUAAAUCUAUGCAUUUAAUAAAUUUAUAUCAUAGAAUUUCAAAUCCUACAGAUCUACUAAUAUUAAAUUAAAAAUAAAGAUAGAAGAAAGUAGCCUGAUUGAAGGCACGUCGAAGCGCGUAAACGCUGUCCCAAAGAAGUAUUUGCCCCCACAUACAGGUCUCCCGAUAAUCCUCCUCUGAGAUACGGCGACCCUACAACUUCUUCUUCAGCACAUCUCGGAAGAAGUCAAAGCGAAUCCGAUCGGACUUGCAGAUCCAGUGAGAACGAAAGAAAAGGCUAAAAUAAAAUAUAAAAGAGCAAGAAUAAAAAUCAUAAGUGGCUAAGAGGAGGAAGAACUUUUCUCCAGAAAUUUUUCAAUAUUUUUCUCUAAUUUUUCGUGUUUCGAAAGAGAUGAAAUUGAGGGGUAUAUAUAGGGGUAUGUGAUCAGGGGCAAAAUGGUAAUUUUGCGGACGCGUUCGCGACUUCAGCGGAUGCAUUCGUGGUAAUCAUGCUGCCAGCGAAACACCAACAGGCGUAUCGCUAAUUUUAAACGCGCAAACCCGCAGACGUUUUCUUGUUCUCAAACGCGCACGUGCAUGACCGGCCAAUUAGAGCUACAAGGCGCGUGCUCCCCAGCUCAAAUCCAAAUAACCCGAUUUUAAACGCGUAAACCCGCUGGCGUUUUCUUUUUCUCAAACCGAAAGGUACCUACACCUAUUACAUAAUAUAAGAUAUCCAGCAUUUAAGUUUUUCCCAAUAAUCCCCCACAAAACUUAAAUAAUUUUAAAAUCAAAAUAAAAUACUGGAUAUCUUAUAUUAUGUAAUAGGUGUAGGUACCUUUCGGUUUGAACCUUCACUUAGUGACAAUUGAUUACAUCUGUGGAGCCAAGGUGGACUUAACUUUGAACCUCGGUCCAUGGUUCAAAAUAAAUCAAUAGCACACAUAAUAUAGCCCGAUCUGGGCCAUGCGCAGGUAUCUAUCAUGUGCUUUUUAGGAAAUUGCCCAUUUUCCAUAAUCGCGGCCUCACGACUGCACAUAUAGGUGAGUCCUAAAAAGGAAGCUAGCAAGGAAGCUCGUGCCUCUUGGGUCUCGGACUCAUUAAGAGUUAUACAAACAAACUCAUCCUACCGCUUGCUUUUAUGAGCACUAGCGCCAUAUGGAUGAGGAAAACAUGAAAUAGUGCUCCUCUUAGUCACACUCCGGUUUGUUUCUACCUAUUGAACUUUUUAAGAUUGGGUUCCCACUGUGGUGAUCUAUCUUUAUGGGCUAAGCUCCAUCCCUCUCGACGACUCUAGAACCACUGUUUUAGAUAAACCUUUUGUAAGCUGAUCAACCAAAUUAUUUUCUGAUUUUACAAAAUUCAUAGCAAUAACGUUAUUUUUCAAUUUAUAUCUUAAUGAUUUAUGACGCACUUUUAAGUGCCUAUUCAUUUUUACAUUGGCAUUUUCUUGGUUGCACUUAUCUAUUGCAGAUUUACAGUCACAAUGUAAGGAGACAGGUGGUAAAGGUGACUCAUCUAUAAGAAGGUCUAUUAGUAGAUCUCUGAGUCACUCAGCCUCAGUGCUAGUGGUGUCUAAAGCUAUCAGUUCAGACUUCAUGAGACUCCUAGAUAUUAAGAUUUGUUUGGUGGAUUUCCAAAACACAGCAGCACCUCCUAGAAGAAAGACAUAUCCUGUGGUGGAUUUAACAUUUAGGGUAUCGUUGAUCCAGUUGGUAUCAUUAUAGCCUUCUAGAACAGCAGAAAACCCACUAAAGUAUAAACUAUAGGACUUGGUACCCUUAAGAUGUCUAAGGAUCAUCUCUAAUGCUGUCCAGUGAUCUCUAUUUGGAUUAACAUUAUAUACUAAGUCUAUUUAUAGCAUAUGCUAUGUCUGGCCUGGUAUAGUUUGCUAGGAAUCCUAGUGAGCCUAUGAUUUGAGCAUAUAGGCUUUGAAGGAUAGGAAUUCCUAAGUUCUUCUUAAGAUGUGUAGAGGGAUCAAAGGGAGUAGAAACAGGCUGACAAUCGGAAUAAUUAAAUUUAUUAUCUUGUCAACAUAAUGACUUUGGGAUAACUCAAUUCUAUUUGCACUUCUAAUUAUUUUGGUAUUUAAAGUUAAGUCAGCUUGUCCCAAGUCUUUUAUAUCAAACUUAUGACUUAAGAAUUGUUUUACUUCAUCAAUUAUCUGAAGAUCUGUUCCAAAGAUCAGUAUAUCAUCUACAUAGAGGCACAAGAUCACAAAUUUGUAUCCAACUCUCUUAUGAUAUACACAUUCGCCUGUGCUAUUGAUUUCAAAUCCAAAUUUCAAGUGUCAUUGCUUGGGUGCUUGUUUAAGAUCAUAAAGAGAUCUGACUAAUUUACAAACUUUAUUUUCUUGGCCUGGGAUUACAAAUCCCUCUGGCUGGUCCAUAUAGAUUUCUUCAUUUAAGUCUCCAUUUAGAAAAGCUGUCUUGACAUCCAUCUGAUGAAUUACUAAUCUAUGGAUGGAGGCUAAUGCUAUAAGGAUCAUAAUAGUUGUAAUUCUAGCUACAGGUGCAUAGACAUUAAAAAAAUCUACCCCAAAUCUCGAGUAAAACCCUUGGCAACUAAUCUAGCCUUAAAUUUAUCUACAGAGCCAACAGACUUAAGUUUUUUCUCAAAGAUCCAUUUGCAACCUUUAGUUUUACAGCCAGAAGGAAGAUUAGUCAAUUCCCAAAUAUGAUUUUGGAUGAUUGACUGCAUCUUAUUGUCCACAGCUUCUCUCCAAAAAGGUGAAUCCAAGAAUUUCAUUGCAUCUUCAAAGGUAGUUGGAGAGUCUUCUAUAAAAAAGGUAUAGAAGUCAUCUCCAAAUAUUUUUUCUACCCUGGAUCUUUUACUCCUCCUAAGUUCUGCUUCUACUUCUAUUUCACUUGUUCUUAUUCUACUAGAGCUAGAAGCUAUACCGCUAUCUACUCUAGUCCUAAGUGGAAAGGUGUCUUCAAAAUAAGUUGCAUCUUUGGCUUCUAUGAUGGUGUUGUUACUAAUAUCACUUUCUUCUGAAUUAAUCACCAGAAAUUUAUUGGCAUUAUUAUUGGCUGCAUAUCCUAUGAAUAUAGCAUCCACUGUUUUAGGUCCUAUUUUCUUUCUUUUAAAAUCAGGUAUUUUCACUUUUGCCAAGCACCCCCACACUUUCAAAUAGCUAAGAUUAGGUCCCCCACACUUUCAAAUAGCUAAGAUUAGGUUUUCUAUGUUUCCAAACUUCAUAUGGGGUUAGAUCAUUAUUUUUAGAGAAAAUCCUAUUGAGGAUAUAACAGGCUGAAACUAGAGCCUCCCCCCAUAAAUUCUCUGGUACUCCUGAGCUUAUAAGCAUGGAGUUAACCAUAUCUAUUAAAGUCCUAUUCUUCCUUUCUGCUACUCCAUUUGAUUGGGGAGAAUAGGGUGCUGUCACUUCAUGAAUGAUUGCAUGAUUUUCACAAAAUUGAGUUAUAUCAUUAGAUGUAUAUUCACCUCCCCGAUCUGAUCUAAGAAUUUUAAUUUUCUUUUCCUGUUGGUUCUCAGCUUCGAUCUUAAAAAUCUUAAAUUUGCUGAGCACCUCAUCCUUGGUUUUAAUUAGGUAGAUGUAAUAAAAUUUGGAUAGAUCAUCUAUGAAGGUCACAAAGUAUCUGUUACCUCCCCUAGAAGUUCUACCCGAGUCACAAACAUCACUAUGGAUCAACUCUAAUAGAUCCGAAUCCCUAUUAACAGGUUUACAAGGCUUCCUAGGGAGUUUUGCUUCUACACAAAUUUGACAUUUCUCAUGGUUCUUAAGAUCACUUUUUGGUAUUAGAUUUAGGUUCAUAAGUUGCUUAAUUGAAUUAUAAUUUACAUGACCUAAUCUACCAUGCCAAAUAGAAGGAGGUUCUAUAUUCAUAAUCAAAAGAUUUUCAUUCAUUGAGGGAGAUAUUACAUUCAACUUAAACAAUCCUUCACUUAGAAACCUUUUUCCAAUAAACAUUACACAAUGAGAAAUUACAACCUUAUUGGACUCAAGAACAAGACGAAAGCCUUGCUGGACUAGCAGGGAACCACUAAUGAGGUUUCUCCUAACAACUGGAACAUGUUGGACGCCGUGCAGGAACAGAACUUUUCCAGAGGUAAGCUUCAAGUCCACACGUCCUACUCCUAGCACACGCGCCUCCGAGCUGUUUGCCAUGAUCACAGCUCCUCCACUUGAGAUCUGGUAAGAAGAAAACCGGGAGCGAUCCGAACAAAUAUGAAUACCAGCUCCGGUAUUAAUCCACCAAUCAAGUGCUUGUAAAGUCAUGUUAACUUCAGGAGUGAAGAAAACAGAUCUGAAAGCUAUCUCAGAGGAGCCAGCGCCGGAAGUCACCAUGUUGACUUGAGCACUGGUUGUGUGUAGACCCUUCUUCUUAGAUUGAAGAGGUGCAGUCUUCUUAUAGAAGUACUGGGGAGACAAAUGGUUGGUCCGACCACACACAUAACAGAAACGAGCACCACCUUCCUCUUUCUUCUUCUCCUGCUCCUGAGAUUGAAUAGGUUUUCCAUUGUAGUGGUGGUUAGGGUUUCUAGGGUAGUAAGAUUUCUUUUUGAAGUUCUUACGGAAGGGUCGGUUCUGAUUUUUCUUAGGAGGGGCCUCUACAUUAUAUGCAUUAUUCUUGGGUCCAGUAGAGGUAUUACUCCUUAGCCUGUGCUGCUUCUCAAUCCUAAUGGAGUUCAUGACUUGGGUUAGGGUGAGAACUCCUUGGGUAUGGCUCAGGGUCUUAGCAAAAUCAGACGAGGAAGUAGGUAGUUUUCAAAAUCAUGGAUUUGGUCAUUCAUAGGCUUUGAGUCCAUCAUCCUAAAAUUAUUGAAGUCGGAGGCCUUGAACCUUUUUACCCAGCAUCAUCAAGACCAUAUUUGCUAUUUAGGGUGUCUCAGAGUUCUUUGACACUCUUGGCUGUAUAAUAGAUAUCAUACAGCCUCUCAGAAAGAGCACCUAGGAUUCUAUGGAUACAAUGAUAAUCUAUCUCAUCAGGUGUUCUAGAGGAUGUGCUAGUGGAGAUAGAAGAUUCAGUGUUGGAAGAGGUUGAGUUUUGGUGAGUAGCAUAUCGUGAAGUAGUUGGGUUAGACUCGUUAUCAACUUCAGUAGUACUUUCACCUAUGGCUGAGAUCAACCUCAAUGUGGUGAGCCAGAACCGCACUUGGUUCUGCCACCUCCUAAAGUUAUGGCCAUCAAAUUUUUCAGGUUUGGCACUAAGGUGGUCACUAGUAUUUGAGGCCAUAGGAUCAGGGUUACAGAAUAGAGACAAAAAUCUGAAUGAAGGCAAAAAGUCUAUGUCAAAAGAUUGCACUAAUAUUUAUAUUAAACUUUAGAUGUCUAAUUGAUAUAUUCAAAAAACUAAUAGCCAGAUCAGCUCCAGAUCGGUGGUGGAGUAUUAGGCUCACUUAAGUACCAGCCUUUCUUAGGCACGUAUGCCUUUUUGACAAGUUUUUUUUUGACACUAUUAGUUAGUGGAUAUAGUCACUAGAAAUCACACAAAUUCAAUUUUUAGAAAAACCUAAGUGCAAACUUAAAUUUGUUAUUAUGGAUUAACUAAGUUUUGAAUUUUCUAUUUGAAUUUUCCGAAUUAGUAACAAUUAAUUAUUAAAUUUAAUGCUAGCAAAACAAUUAUUGUAAUUGAAACGUAAUUUAUCAAUUCAAUGAAUUGUAUAUAUUAGAAUUGAUUUAUUUUCUUAUUAGAAUAAUUGAUUACUAAUUUAGUACCAGCAAAUCAAUUUAUUGUAAUUGAGAUCUAAAAUAUCAAUUCAAUGAAUUAUAAAAUUUAUUACCUUAUUAAAAUAAUUGAUUGAUAUCUAAUAAGUCAAUUCAAUGAAUUAAAUUAUUAUGUAUUAACCAAUUUUCGAAUUUUUCAUUUGAAUGGGAUCUGUGAGGAGCCCAAAUGGAGCUAUAAUAAACCUCUUGGAGGUUAAGCAAAUUAUUACCUUUUUAGAAUAAUUGAUUAUUAAUUUUUAUGAUAACGAAAUAAUUAUUUUAAUUAAAAUCUAAUAUGUCACAAUUGUAAUAAAUGAUUUAAUGAAUUAUAUAUUACUAACAAAAAAAAACAAAUACUUCUUUGGAAUGUUAGCAAUAUAUUAUCUAAAUAAACAAAUAAAUCUAUAAAUGCAAUUAAUGGAAAAUCUUAAAAGGAAUAAUAUAUAUCAUUCGGCAUCCAAAUAAUUCUAUUUUAAUGUAAAAUAAAUCUAUUCUAGCACAUAAUAAAUCUAUGCAUUUAAUAAAUUUAUAUCAUAAAAUUUCAAAUCCUACAAAUCUACUAAUAUUAAAUUAAAAAUAAAGGUAGAAGAAAGUAGCUUGAUUGAAGGCAGAUCGNNNNNNNNNNNNNNNNNNNNAAAUCUUAAAAGGAAUAAUAUAUAUCAUUCGGCAUCCAAAUAAUUCUAUUUUAAUGUAAAAUAAAUCUAUUCUAGCACAUAAUAAAUCUAUGCAUUUAAUAAAUUUAUAUCAUAAAAUUUCAAAUCCUACAAAUCUACUAAUAUUAAAUUAAAAAUAAAGGUAGAAGAAAGUAGCUUGAUUGAAGGCAGAUCGAAGCGCGUAAACGCUGUCUCAAAGAAGUAUUUGCCCCCAUGUACGGAUUUUCCGGCAAUCUUCCUCUGAGAUACGACGAUCCUACAACUUCUUCUUCGGCACGUCUCGGAAGAAGUCAAAGCGAAUCCGAUCGGACUUGCAGAUCCAGCAAAGAACGAAAGAAAAGGCUAAAAUAAAAUAUAAAAGAGUAAGAAUAAAAAUCACAAGUGGCUAAGAGGAGGAAGAACUUUUCUCCAGAAUUUUUUUCAAUAUUUUUCUCUAAUUUUUCGUGUUUCGAAAAAGAUAAAAUUGAGGGGUAUAUAUAGGGGUAUGUGAUCAAGGGCAAAAUGGUAAUUCAGCGGAUGCAUCCGCGACUUCAGCGGACGCGUCCGUGGUAAUCAUGCUGCCAGCGCUGAUUUUAAACGCCCAAACCCGCUGGCGUUUCCUUGUUCUCAAACGUGCACGCGCAUGACCGGCCAAUUAGAACCACGAGGCGCGUGGUCCCCAACUCAAAUCCAAAUAACCUGAUUUUAAAUGUGUAAACCCGCUGACGUUUCCUUUUUCUCAAACGCGCACACGGCCCGAGAUUUGGCCGCAUGCGCAUUUAAGUUUGUCCCAACAAUACAUACACUGUUUUAUGUUGGGCUCAUGAGAGAUGUCCUUUAUUUGAGAUAAAAGGGGCUAAAAAAAAAAACUAUGUUCUAAGGUGCUCUAAUGGUGCACCAUAGCUCAAAGGUGGAGUAGCUCACUAUAAGACAAGAGGAGCAAGAGAUUUUCUUCUUAACCUUUUAUCAAUGGAAAGCUAUGGUUGCUUGAUAACAUGGUCAGAAAGCAUGUAGUAAGAUAAAGUUUUUAUCUCGGUAGAGUGCCGGUUCGUAACGGUAUCAUGCACCAAUAUGAUAUUUUUAAAAAUUCUCAUCUUUGUUGUUCAGGUAAUAUAAAUUGAUAUUUCAAGGUAUUGGCUAAGAUGAGAUAUUUCUAUUUAGUACUGUAAGUGGAUUGGUUUGACCCAUUUCUAAACUAAACCCAAUCCAAAAACAGCUUGAUCCUACCAAAAUGGGGAUACUUGGAUUUAAAAAUGACCUGUUUUGUAUAUAAACUGAAUUUGGAUUGCUGAGUAUCCAAAAACAUACUGAAUCUAGUAAUUUUAUUCACUAUUAAUAAGAACUUUUAUAUAGUUAAUUAUCACUUCAUAUUGUUGACUAUAAUUUAUAUAUGGUUGCCACUCAAAUCAUAUGUGCAGUGGGUUGUUAGUAAUUUAUAAAUAUUAUUUGAUUAUUUUUUAUCAAGUUUAUGAUAUAAUCAAGCAAUAUACUACUGAUUUAUUCUUAAACUGAUUUGAUUUGAAAUAUCUGAUGGAUUGAAAAAAUAAAUCCUUCAUCUGAGCCGAUCCAACCCAAGUGUGGAUGGAUCAAGCUUUGGUACAAUUUCUUAACCCAAGUCAAAUAUAGAUUGCAUUUGGAUUUGAGCGGAUGACAAUUUUUUAUCUAACCUGGCAGAUCAGGGGUAUCAAUGUUCUUCAUUCAUUAGAAUUGAGAAUACGUACAAAACCCUCCUAGCAUAUAUUAGGGGGAUUUUUUGUAUUAUAUGGCUUGUGCUCUUGGAUUCCCAUGGCAUACCAAAUAGGUUACUCGUGGAUACCUACAGAUUUUUAAACACCGACAUACCAAAUGCGGUUAUCUUAUAUCACUGGGGAUCAAAUUACCCCAGGAUGAGGAUCACCGGUGAUCUUAAUCAUCGUGGUAAUCCCAUUUGGGUCACCAAACAUGCCCAUAGGGAAAUCUUUCACAUUAUAUAAAAACAUGUUUAUAUAGAAAUUGGUGGUGGAAAAAUAGGUCCCAUAGGAGAUCAGUGAAAGGUUAUUUGUUGACAAAUAUGGAUAUUCAUUUGCUUGAAAGAGGUUAGUGUGAGUUAGACAAAUGAUAUAUUUGGUUAAGGAGCAAUUUGUUAAGUAGCCUAAGAAUUCUAAGAUUGGAAAAGAGAUUAAUAAUAAAACUCAUAAUUAAAUGAAUGACAAAAUAUUUUGAAAAUUAAAGUGCCUGAUGAGUUAAUGGCUUACUUGGACUUGACAAUGGAUAGGGCAUAGGUGCAAUCAAUCGAUGCCUAUAAUGCAUGGAGGAGGGCAUUGACAUUUGGUCUACUACAAUAGGUAAAUGCAUAGGGGACCAUGACCACACAUGAGCUGAAGUGGUACCUUGCCUCAAUGCAUGAGAAAUUGAGUUUAAGAUGAUCUAUUUAUAUAAGUUUGAUGGACAACAAUUGUUUAUUAAGAUGGGUCUGUAGGAAAGAGAUUUGGUUUCUUGUCAAUCUCAUGUUCUGAAGCUGGUCCAGCUAAACUAUUUGAUGUACUACAUUACUUGUUUCUCUAGGAAUGAUAGUGCAAGGACAAAAUCAAUCUGCCUCUUCAUGUAUCUCCUUUUCCCGAAAAUCACUGGGAGUAGGCCUUCCAACAUUUGAGAAGAAAUUGAUGUGUCUAAGUGUGUUUGGUGGACCUUCAAGUCCUGACCCAUCCCACAAAAACCUAGAGGAUUCUAACGUUUGUUUAUUCUCAGCAUAUGACAUAACAAAUGUAAAAUUCAAGUGUAUGCAAUCAACGACAUCUCUAUUUUCCUUCAUUUUCUUGCAGCUAGCUUGAUAACACAAUCUAACCUUUCCUUUCUUCUCUCUCAACUUGAAACAUGAAAUAGAGCCAUCCCAUGAAAAUCUAAUAUAUAGUAUAUUUUCUUCAGGGGUUCAUCAAAGUUCUUUUAUUAGAGACUAGUGGAAGGUUGCUAAACACUUUCUUAUCCUUCUAACACUAAGUGAGACCAUAAGAUCGUGUUGUUCCAGCAGAUGCAAAUUUGGUAUGUGUAUUCAGAUUCGACAUUGAAGACCAACAUGUAGCUUUGAAGUCUAAGUUGCUGCAUAUUUGCAAGUUAUUGAUUGGAUAGAAAAGAUCCACUUUGAAAAGGAUUCAUAUUUGCAAGUUAUUGAUUUGUGGCUUCUAUCAAUUUUUUCCAUGACAGUCGCCAUCCUAACCUGUUAUUCCAGUAGGUUCCAUGGUUUUUCACAUACAAUUUUCAUAUGAGCAUGACUUAGUCAUUGUUGCUAGAUGACAUAGGGCACAAUGUUGGAUGUGAUGGAAGAUAUUGUGUAUCCCUUAAGUUAUGUUUGAUGUCUCAUGGAGAAUGGCCUGAUCUUUUAGAAAGCGGGUAAUUUUGACUUAGUUACAAAUUUGUUGGUUGUAGGGUUCAUUUGAGUUUGAAUUUUUGUUUUGCAGUUAUGGUUUCAAGGUAAGGGACACAACAGAAGUAUUUGGUGUCACAAUGGAAGCAUGACAUGAGGUGUAUUUCAGUAGCAAGGCAUAUUAAAUCAGUGAAGAGGCAUGAUAUGAG